AAGAAGGCCUUAGGGUUGUAAAGCUCUUUCAGGGGUGAGGAUUAUGACAGUAACCCCAGAAGAAGCACCGGCUAACUUCGUGCCAGCAGCCGCGGUAAUACGAAGGGUGCAAGCGUUGUUCGGAAUCACUGGGCGUAAAGGGCGUGUAGGCGGACUGACAAGUUAGAGGUGAAAGCCCCGGGCCCAACCUGGGAACUGCCUUUAAAACUGUUAGUCUAGAAUCCGGGAGGGGAGUGUGGAAUUCCUAGUGUAGAGGUGAAAUUCGUAGAUAUUAGGAAGAACACCGGUGGCGAAGGCGACACUCUGGACCGGUAUUGACGCUGAGGCGCGAAAGCGUGGGGAGCAAACAGGAUUAGAUACCCUGGUAGUCCACGCCGUAAACGAUGUCUGCUAGCCGCUGGGGCACUUAGUGCUUCGGUGGCGCCGCUAACGCAUUAAGCAGCCGCCUGG
rnacentral:rRNA from 1 species